rnacentral:lncRNA from 1 species
AGGAGAGUUCCUAUCUAAGGAAUUUGAAACUUGGCUAAGUAAAAUGGGCAUUGCACACCGUACGUCUAGUCCAUUUGUUCCUCAAGAAAAUUCAAUUGCAGAACGAUGGUUAGGUAUACUGCAAGUUAUGUUCAAUUCAAUGCUAACUGAUUCAGGCUUGCCAUUCAAGUUCUGGGCGGAAGCUGCAAACACAGCUACCUAUGUGUUAAACCGUGUUUUUUGUUCAGCCAUAAAUCAAACGCCUUUCUAUAUGCUCUAUGGGCAUCCUGCAAGUUAUCAUUAUAUGAAGCUGUUUGGACAGAAAGCAGCCGUCCUCAUUCCUUAUGAAAAAAGAAGAAAAGGAGAAAGAAAGUGGCAGGAACUUUAUUUUGUAGGCUAUCAUAAAUUUAGCAAAGCUUAUAGGUUCAGUGAUAUUCAUGGCAAAAUUGUGUUAAGCAGAUCAGCAAAUUUUUACCAGGAUGAAACAUGGUAUCGUGUCCAUGCAAACAAGGAAUUUUUUUUGCCUUUGCAAGUUGAAGCUGAUAGGCAAGAAGGGGGAUUUACUCCCUCCUCCCUUUCAUCUCCUGUAUCUGUGAAAAGAGAAGCUAUUCCUUCGUUUAUCAAGAAGGGGGGUGAAGAGGACUUACAAGAAGUAGAUCAAGUUACACAUAGUCCUACUCUUGAACAUCCAAAAAUAGAGCUGAGGCAUUCCCAAAGAACAACAAAAGGAAUCCCACCUGAGAGAUAUGCACCCUGCGAAAAUGUUUAUGUUUGUGCUAUCAGUGCUCAGGAGCCUCAAUCUUAUUCUGAAAUGCUUAAGCUGCCAGAAGAAGAAAUCAAACGUUGGAGGCAUGCUAUGGAAGAGGAAUUUCAAAGCCUUGUAAGACAACAAGUAUUCACAGAAGUGAAAGCACCCAAAGAUGCCAAAAUACUUGGUUGUAAAUGGGUUUAUCGACUAAAAACAAUGCCUAAUGAAAACACUGUGCGUUACAAAGCUCGUUUAUGUGCACAAGGCUACAGUCAAACAAAUGUAGAAGCUGAA